rnacentral:rRNA from 1 species
UGCUGACGAGUGGCGGGACGGGUGAGUAACGCGUGGGAAUCUGCCUUCUAGGUGGGGAUAGCCCGGAGAAAUCCGGAUUAAUACCGCAUACGCCCUACGGGGGAAAGCCGGGGGAUCUUCGGACCUGGCGCUAGUAGAUGAGCCCGCGUGAGAUUAGCUUGUUGGUGGGGUAAUGGCCUACCAAGGCAACGAUCUCUAGCUGGUCUGAGAGGACGAUCAGCCACACUGGGACUGAGACACGGCCCAGACUCCUACGGGAGGCAGCAGUGGGGAAUAUUGGACAAUGGGCGAAAGCCUGAUCCAGCAAUGCCGCGUGUGUGAAGAAGGCCUGAGGGUUGUAAAGCACUUUCAAUCGUGAAGAAAAGUUGCAGGCUAAUACCCUGUGACCUUGACGUUAACGAUACAAGAAGCACCGGCUAACUCCGUG